AGAAUCAAUGCAGUUUGACACCACUUUAGCUGUCAUGGCUCACUCCAUCUUCCAGAUCUGGUCACCUCUGAGUCAUCUCUCGAUAACAAAGGAACAACCUUGACAGACAGUUACACAAAUGAGAUUCUGUAACUGGAAAUUCCUUCUCAGCCUUGAUUCCACCUGCCUCCUUUCUAGUAGCCUGGCAGCUAACCUCAGUCGAAAGACAGGUUGGUACAAAGAUGAACACAAGUGCCAAAAUUCUGUUGAUCUCUUAUGGGCAUAUCAGAUCUGUACAGAAAUGAUUGGGCAAUAUUUUUUGUCUGACAUUUGGAUUCAGUUCAAAGUUGUGGAAACAAAAGUCUGCAUGUGGCACCACUGUGCAUGAGAUAUACACAUAUUGGUGCACACAUGCAUUGGAUUACAUAUCUAGAUCCACAUUCAAUUAUACAACACAUUCAUUCAACACACAAAGUGUGUAGCACAACCAGUGUAUAACUCCACAUUGCAGAUUUAUGAUAUACAGCCCUGGGAAGGGAUCUUAGUCAAGGUAUUUCUUUGCUCACCAGGAUCAUAAGCCAGUGGGGACUUCAUAUGAAAGCACCAACACCUUGAAAGUGACUUUGAAUACUGGGUAUCUGACAAUAUUUAUGCUACCAAACAGGAGAUGUGUCUGGUGGUCAGAUUAUGACUGAGGAUAAAGACCACCUUUGCCUUUUAAUCCAGCCCUUAGGCAGGUCUCAAAACCCAUCUCUGGUUAUCUUUACAGCUGUAAAGCAUAUCAGACAAGUGCAUGGGCAAGGGGAAUGGGCUGAGAAACCACUGAUCUUGCUUGUAUUUACCUGUCUUAUUCCUUCCUUUAAUCCCUUUAUGUUCAGAAAGAUGCCCUCAAGGUAGUAAAAAUGCAUGCUUUAUGCAAGCCAGUUUUUAAAGGAGCGUAAUCUUCAGAGUGAUUUGCUGUAAUAAAACCAGCCUGAGAAGAUGAGGGGCUCAAUUGGAUGUAACAGGAGAGAAUCUGAAAAGGAAAUAUCAAACAACACUGUGUUCUGGUUUACAUAUAUCAGCUGAAUAACCGCAAAUUUGUGAAGUACCAGACAUUAUAUGCAGAUAUGAUAUCUGAAGAUGCAGGAAAGUGGAGCAAGUCUACAGUGGAAAAUAUACAACAAAGCAUCAAGUUUGGAUAUUUGCCAUGGCUCUGAGGUGACUGUGAGUCCGAAAUGGCAGAACUGGAAACUCACUACCAUCACCUUUGACUUCCAGCAUUCCAGCCAAAUAAAAUAUAGCCUUAGGAUUUUCUCAAAGCAAAAACAGGUAUGUUUCUAUCCACCUUUAUCAACAACAUGAGUCUCUCCUACCAGUUCUAUACAUUUUGUAUGACCUGGUCUAUAAACGAGGCUCUCUUUUCAUCCUCUAUAUUUAUGGGUAAAUUUAUCACUUCUUUCACUGCAUCAUAUGUAUUUGUUGCUUUUUCCACCCAAUAUACCCUUAAAAUACUGCAUAGAAAGAAUGGGAAAGCAAUAUCAAAAUGCAACCCAGAGGAAUGUGCCAAUUAAAGGCAAAUAUUGAAGAUCAUUAAACCAAUAUCAGUCUUAUCAAAAUAUGGCAACUAUUUUUUUUCUUCUUUUACAGAUCUGGAGUGUAAAGUGUACAGUAUAUAUGUGUGCAUUUUUCUUCUGUACCAGAACCAAAACAGAAAUUGUGUCAGUGUCAGGCCUUCAAUUCUGCAUUUAGUAGGAUUACAGAAAAGCAAUUCAUGGCACUCUGCUUAAAUCCAUACCAAGAGGAUGGCCAAUUUAGAUUGUCAGGUACUCGAGUAUUUUUUUAUUAAAAAAAACAAUCCUUAUAGCUGAAAAAGCAAUAAAAAAUGCCUUUCAAGUAUAUGAUAAACAACAGGAAGUUAUUUACCUAUGGAACGGUGGGAUUAUAAGAUGAAUAUUUUGGAAAGAUCACAUGCAUAUUUUUGUAAAAGCAAAAUCAAUUUUCCUCACUUGAAUAAGGGGAAAACAAUUGGACCUAUAUUAGUAGUUAUGAUUAUGGGUGUAUCUACACUAUGAAAUUAGUGCAGUUUGAUGCCACUUUAGCUACAUUAACUCAAUGCUAUGGAAUCCUGGGAUUUAUAGUUUGAUGAGGAACCAGACCUCUUUGAUAGAGAGGGCUAAAGACCCCCACGGCUCCAUAGUGUUACGGAUUGAUGAUGUUGAUAAAUAGAAGCUCUUACAUGUGCCCGUAAUCCAGAGUCACCCACAGAAUAACAUGCCACUCAGCUUUGCAGAACAAAAAUACAGGAACUUUACUGAUUCCAAGAGAUCAAAAACAGUAGUAUUUACAAUGGUCCCUUUGAUCACUUACAGAAGUCCACAGUCAAAUGGUUAUUUCUCAGUCCAUAAAUCUGCUUCAGAGAAGAAUACAGUCCUGGUUCUUCUCCCUCUUUUCUCAGCAGCAAGGCCUCUUUGAGUAUACAUUGCUCUCUUCACCAGCAGUACUCCAGUCAGCACUGAAAACUUGUCCAGACUGGUUCCGCAGCAGCAGAACAGAAACAGUUUCAAAUCAAAUCAAGCCCAAGGUCUUUGCAGGCUCAGCCAACUGGUUUCAUGCACUUCAUUUUCUAGUUAACACACACACAGCACAGUACCUUUGCAAACCAUGACACAACACUUGGCAAUGGCAGUUAAAGUAGUGUCAAACUGUAUUACUACUACACUGUAGAAAAUGAACCCAAGGAAACCGGAUUCCUCUAAAAGGUAGAUUUGAGAAGAACAUUUCUCAACAAUGUGGGGAUGAGGAAAUAACAUCAAAAGAAUGCCUUCAUCAAAUUAUCUCCUGUUUCAAGUACAAUGUUCUCUCUGCUGAGGAAAAAAAUGCUUUCACUAGUGCUAAAUGAAAUCAUAAUGUGUAAUGGAAUGAAUGCAAGGCAAUUAUUAUUUUUUUCUCCCACGUACCUUAAUAUUUUCUAGCCUGUCCUAUUAACUGAUGACUUUGCAAAGAAAUGAGGCUAAGAUUGGAUCAUGUAUUCAAAGCACUGGGAAUUUCUUGAGCUGCAUCUUUUCUUUAAAAUCCCUUCCUCUAUAUGGCUAUGAAAGGGAGCAGAAAGCACAUCAAUCAUUAAUGUGUCUAGUUACCCUAUAACAUAUGAAACAUGGGCAACUGUAAGUGGAGAUGGGGGCAUUUUCCCUGCACCUACCCACAGGCUGUUGGGCCGCUUUCAACAAAAUUAUAAGUGACAUCACAUCACUUCUGCUUCUGGAAGCCAGCCAAAAGAUUUAUGUUGGAGGUGAAUCUUCGAGGGCAGGUGAGGACAAGGGGAAUCGGACCUCCAAUCUUUUUGUGACAGUCUGGGUGAUUAUUGUGUGUGUUUGGCUUUUCUCCCAUUCUCCUCUAUUCCUUCUUCACUGAUUUCCUGCAUACCAAAAAGAGACAUCAGAAGUUUACUACAAGGUGAAAGAGGGAUGCUCCUACAGCAGUUCAGUCAGUCCAUGCACUGCUCCAUUCAUCCGACCAUUUUUGCACUCAUGAAUGCACAGGAAAUACAGGAAAAUAACCUGUAUUUACUGUGCAGUCUUUUUUGGAUGUCUCGGUGAUGUUCUGCAGCUUCCAAUUAUCAUCACAGAGUAGACUGGGUUAACCUGGUUUAGCCUCACAUUAAGAAAAGUUGAGGAAUGCUCUGGAGUUUGGCUGAAAUUCUGGAACAAUUCCAUGGCUUCAGCACUGUGUGGACAGAAGGUUUUGAUUUGGACUGGUCUGCUGUCCAUGUGGGACACUGCCAACAUCCCCUUUUCCUUGUGCUCAUCGGCUCAGGGAAUGUGGUACGAAGCAGGUGUGUGUUCUCAUCAUCACCACUGAGGGGAAAAGACAAGAUCCCGAAUUGCAAAGAUAUAUCAAUAAAUAGCAAAAUCAUAACAAAUAUUAAAAGUACACACAUAUGGACUAUGAGGAAGAAAAACACUGGGAGACUGGGAGGAAACGUUAUAUUUUAAUAUAUGGUACGAAGAACUCUUAACCCAGCAAAGAAGAAGAAAGGAAGUACAAAUUCUAUUAUUUAUUUAAUUUUUCCUCCUUUACUCCCUUUCACUUUUUCCACUGUUUUCCCCCAAUUCACUCUUUCUUUUUAUGUUUACCUAUAUAAAAUUUAAAUAAAAAUAUUUAAAAAAAUUGCAAAAUCAGGAUUGUCCAUACCAUCAUAUUUCCAAUAGCCAUGUUGCCUUGUGAAAACUGGACAGUAAAGAAAGCUGAUAUGAAGAAAAUCAAUUGAUUUGAAAUGGGGUGCUGAAUGAGAGUUUUACCAAUAUUAGAGAAAUAAAUGGGCCUUGAUUCAAAUCAAACCAAAACACUCAAGAGAAGUCAAGAUGACUAAAGUUUAAAUGUGGACACACCAUAAGUAAAAAAGGUAGCAAUCAGAAAAAGGGAGACCACAUUGCAGGUAGACUCAGUCAAGGAGGCCGCAACCUUGAGUUUGGACAAACAUGUACAGAACAAGAUAAUUUGAAGGUCUGUCAUGAAUACAGUUGUUAUAAGUUGGAUUUGACUUGAUGGUAGUUAGGAAAACAUGAAAUGCACAUUGAAGGCAAUACACUGCAUAGUUGGAAAACUGAUAUGUAUUUGGAAGAAAGAUACAAGAGGCAGAUGCAUGCUAUACAUAUGACUUUAUUAAGAAUAUAUGGAAAAAUCUCUGUUAAAAAAUUCCACAGAUUUAGGGUGCAAGUAAGAAAUAAUGCAUACAUUGUGCUCAUCUUCCACCCCUCCUCCUCCUCUUCCUAUUUUUCCUCCUCCAUUUUCCUUUUCUUUGGUUGCAUUCUACAUCUGGUAGAGCCCCAAGCAGUAGGUUGGGACAAACAACCAAAGUUUUCAAAACCUAAAAGCAGUAUCUUGUAUAUAAACCAGUGGUCUCAACCUGUGGGUCCCCAGGUGUUUUGGCCUACAACUCCCAGAAAUCCCAGCCAGUUUACCCGCUGUUAGGAUUUCUGUGAGUUGAAGGCCAAAACCUGGGCACCCACAGGUUGAGAACCACUGAUAUAAACCAACCAGACACCAGCACAUAUCUUGAGAGAUGGGGGUGAUGC